GACGAACGCAGGCGGCGUGCCUAACACAUGCAAGUCGAGCGAGAAGGGACCUUCGGGUCCUGGAGAGCGGCGAACGGGUGAGUAACACGUGGGCAACCUGCCCCAAGGACUGGGAUAACGCUCGGAAACGGACGCUAAUACCGGACGUGCUCUGACCACUCAAGUGGUUUGAGCAAAGGUAGCUUCGGCUUCUGCCUUGGGAUGGGCCCGCGGCCUAUCAGCUUGUUGGUGAGGUAACGGCUCACCAAGGCUACGACGGGUAGCUGGUCUGAGAGGACGAUCAGCCACACUGGGACUGAGACACGGCCCAGACUCCUACGGGAGGCAGCAGUGGGGAAUCUUGCGCAAUGGGCGAAAGCCUGACGCAGCAACGCCGCGUGGAGGAAGAAGGCCCUCGGGUCGUAAACUCCUGUCAGGGGGAAAGAAGGCACCUGGGUUAAUAGCCCAAGGGCUGACGGUACCCCCAGAGGAAGCCACGGCUAACUACGUGCCAGCAGCCGCGGUAAUACGUAGGGUGGCGAGCGUUGUCCGGAAUCAUUGGGCGUAAAGAGCGCGUAGGCGGCUUGUCAGGUCCGAUGUGAAAUC
rnacentral:rRNA from 1 species